UGGAAAUGAUGAAAUAGAGAUAAUUGGGUGUUGAAUGUUGUGUGAGUGGAAAUUUUGAAUACGUAAGUUAAGUAAUUAAUAUUUUAUAGGUACUUAGUAGAGAGUGUGUGUGCAUGUGUGUGUGCUGCUCCUGCUGGCUAUGGGAAGGGGGCGCUGACUGGUGAUGCUGAUACUGGAGUGCAUCUGAGGCUGUUGUAGAAAUUCAUGGGUUGUUGAUUACAACAUUGCCGAUGAUUAUAACCCAAGAACAGCUCACCUAAGUAGCCUAGCACCCUAAAAUCUCUGACAGGUUCAUUAAACAUGCUCCUGUGAUCUGAUCCAG
ensembl:scaRNA SCARNA7 small Cajal body-specific RNA 7